CACAAAAGCUUCACCUACAAAACUUUAGCACAAAAGCUUCACACUAUCUUGAUCAAGAUAGUGCGAAGCAAAAUCAAUUCAUGGUACCCAACAAAGCUUCAACCUCAAAGCAUCACCUACAAAGCUUCAACACCAAAGCUUAGAAUAUAUAUAUAUAUUCGGAAAUUAGAAAAUUCAAAAAUUCAAAAAUUAGGAAAUUCAGAAAUUCGGAAAUUCAAAAGAAAAAUAAAAUUGCCUAGGCCUCAUCUUCUUUGGGCCUAACAACUUUCAUAACAAAUAUAUAUGAAUGAGGAUUUUUGGGCUACCAUUUAGAAAGGAAAUGCCUCAUUCGUCAACUCCCUCGACCGGAAAUUUGGGGGACUCCUACCAUAUGCUACUGCACCUUGAUACUCGGAAGUUUCACGACCACUAAGUGACUUGGAUUUUUCAAGUCUCCAACCAAGAAAUUUUCCUCACUCGGGAAAUUAAGGGAGCACUACAUCAACAUACAUACUUCACUCACAAAGCUUCAACAUACAAGCUUCAACAAAAGAAAAAAACUCAAAGAACUUAGUGAAGAAGGUCUUGGUGUAUUUAACACAAUACAUUGAAAUAAAGCAAAGCUUGUUUAUUGAUAUCUCCGUUAAGUUACAAAUAUGUACAUAUACAUGAAUCAAAAUAAACAAACAAGAGGGAACCUUCACAAAGGUUGCUCAGAAGAAGUCUCAACAGUCUGCAGAGCCCCAAAAAGAGGAGGUACCAGAGGGUGAUUAUUCGGAGCCUCAGUACUAGGCAGAACCCCAGAAGGAGGAGGCACCGAAGGUUGAUCAUUUGGAGCUUCAUUACGUGGUACAGCUUCAGAAGACGAAGGCAAUAAAUGCCUUUAGAACAAACACAUAAACCUCUGAUGAUCAAGUAAAAUUUGACCAUCAGAUUCUUGCAGCUGGUCGAGAUUCCUCUUCAUAUUUGUAGCAUAGUCAUGUGCGAGUCUCAGCAGAGUCUCUCGAAAUACUCAGCUUCUUUUCCCCCCGAUAAUACCUCUGCAAACAAGCCACAACAGAGCAAGAGUAUCUCAUAUCAUUAGGGUUAAAAGCAAGAGUAUCCCAUAUCAUGCUUUUCCCUGUAUUUUCCUUUGGCAUUGUUCUUACCUGCAAAACAAUGAGAAAUAGAGCAAUUAGUCAGCACUUGAAAUCAAGCUUCCAGUUAGAAACUGACUGCCUGGAACCCCUUGCCUGAUUACUUACCUAACAUUGCUCUCGAGUACUCAUCUUCAACAUCUUAUGCUUCCAGAGAAGAUACCACAUCUACCUGAGGAACAGAUAGGGUAAGUGAGAA
rnacentral:lncRNA from 1 species